rnacentral:rRNA from 1 species
CCUACGGGCGGCAGCAGUGAGGAAUAUUGGUCAAUGGGCGGAAGCCUGAACCAGCCAAGUCGCGUGAGGGAUUAAGGCCCUGCGGGUCGUAAACCUCUUUUGCCGGGGAGCAGAGUUCCGUACGUGUCCGGGCCUGGAGAGUCCCCGCAGAAAAAGCAUCGGCUAACCCCGUGCCAGCAGCCGCGGUAAACCGGAGGAUGCGAGGGUUAUCGGGAUUUAUUGGGUUUAAAGGGUGCGUAGGCGGGCAUUUAAGCCGGCGGUCAAAUGCCGGGGCUCACCCCCGGCCUGCCGUCGGUACUGGGGGACUUGAGUGGGCGAGAAGUAGGCGGAAUGCGUGGUGUAGCGGUGAAAUGCAUAGAUAUCACGCAGAACCCCGAUUGCGAAGGCAGCAUACCGGGGCCCUACUGACGCUGAGGCACGAAAGUGCGGGUAUCGAACAGGAUUAGAUACCCCUGUAGUC